GCAAGAUUAAAACUCAAAGGAAUAGACGGGGACCCGCACAAGUGGUGGAGCAUGUGGUUUAAUUCGAAGAUACGCGAAGAACCUUACCUAGCCUUGACAUUGAUAGAAUCUUCCAGAGAUGGAGGAGUGCCUUUCGGGGAACUUGAAAACAGGUGCUGCACGGCUGUCGUCAGCUCGUGUCGUGAGAUGUUGGGUUAAGUCCCGCAACGAGCGCAACCCUCGUCAUUAGUUACUAACAGUUCGGCUGAGGACUCUAAUGAGACUGCCUUCGUAAGGAGGAGGAAGGUGAGGACGACGUCAAGUCAUCAUGGCCCUUACGGCUAGGGCGACACACGUGCUACAAUGGUUAGGACAAUGAGAAGCGAUACCGCGAGGUGGAGCAAAUCUAUAAACCUAAUCUCAGUUCGGAUUGUAGUCUGCAACUCGACUACAUGAAGCUGGAAUCACUAGUAAUCGUAGAUCAGCCAUGCCACGGUGAAUACGUUCCCGGGUCUUGUACUCACCGCCCGUCACACCAUGGGAGUUGAUUUCACCCGAAGCGGGGAAGCUAAACUGGCUACCCUCCACGGUGGAAUUAGCGACUGGGGUGAAGUCGUAACAAGGUA
rnacentral:rRNA from 1 species